rnacentral:rRNA from 1 species
CAAUGGCGUAUAUUAAAGUUGUUGCAGUUAAAAAGCUCGUAGUUGGAUUUCUGGUGGGAGCGAUCGGUCUGGCGCUUAGCGCGAGUACUUGCAUCGCCUCCGGCCAUCCUUGGGGAGAGUCUGUCUGGCAUUAGGUUGUCGGGCAGAGGAUCCUCAUCGUUUACUGUGAAAAAAUUAGAGUGUUCAAAGCAGGCUUAUGCCGUUGAAUAUAUUAGCAUGGAAUAAUAAGAUAGGACUUUGGUACUAUUUUGUUGGUUUGCGCACCAAAGUAAUGAUUAAUAGGGACAGUUGGGGGUAUUCGUAUUCCGUUGUCAGAGGUGAAAUUCUUGGAUUUACGGAAGACGAACUACUGCGAAAGCAUUUACCAAGGAUGUUUUCAUUAA